rfam:Schizosaccharomyces pombe chromosome I, complete replicon
UCCCGAGUGGCUCAAUCGGUUUAGAGCGUCUGACUCUUAUGAUGGUCAUCAGAAGGUUGCGAGUUCGAGUCUCGCCUUGGGAG